rnacentral:rRNA from 1 species
UACGAAGGGGGCUAGCGUUGCUCGGAAUUACUGGGCGUAAAGGGCGCGUAGGCGGACAGUUUAGUCAGAGGUGAAAGCCCAGGGCUCAACCUUGGAAUUGCCUUUGAUACUGGCUGUCUUGAGUUCGGGAGAGGUGAGUGGAAUGCCGAGUGUAGAGGUGAAAUUCGUAGAUAUUCGGCGGAACACCAGUGGCGAAGGCGACUCACUGGCCCGAUACUGACGCUGAGGCGUGAAAGCGUGGGGAGCAAACAGGG